rnacentral:rRNA from 1 species
UACGAAGGGGACUAGCGUUGUUCGGAAUCACUGGGCGUAAAGCGCACGUAAGCGGAUGUGUCAGUCAGGGGGUGAAAUCCCGGGGCUCAACCUCGGAACUGCCUUUGAUACAGCACGUCUCGAGUCCGGAAGAGGUGGGUGGAAUUCCUAGUGUAGAGGUGAAAUUCGUAGAUAUUAGGAAGAACACCGGUGGCGAAGGCGGCCCACUGGUCCGGUACUGACGCUGAGGUGCGAAAGCGUGGGGAG